AAUUCAGUCUAUUUCCCUCAUCUCUCAUCCACAACACGAACUCCCUUAUUUCACGAACUUCCUCUGUCGUACUUCCCUUACGCGACCUUCAUCUUCAGCUCAACCCGUUCACCACCGGUCACCGCCGUUCUCAAUUCCAUCAACACCGCCGCAACUCACGAAAGUCUCUUCUAAAACGCUAUUCUCAGUUCCUUAUGUUUUAGUAUCCCUAAUUUGUUUUUGUUUUUGUCAAAUCCCUAAAUUCAAGAAUUAGAUUAUUCAUCCAAUAAGGGUUUAACCAAACACAUCAAAGAAAAACACUAGUCUUCUCUUCCCGCCCUGAAAAAUCAGUAUCGGUGUGGAUUUUGGCAAUGGACGAGGAAAUGUCAAUUGCUUCUCCUUUCUUCGAUCCCCAAGACCUCACUGCGCGAGAGUUCCACAAAUACGGUGACAGAAGAUCUUUCUAAAGAGCAAAUAAUGGUAAUGUUUGUGUGAUACACUUAAUGUGACCAGAUAAUCUCUACCUAUCCAUGGAGUAAACUUAUUGAAAUCUAUUCAUUUCUCACAGGUGACAGGAACAUCAUAUGUAAUGGUCUGUGAGUUUGUUACAGAGGAUCACCCAGCUCAAUUGUGCCUUAGGAUGGUUCAAUGGUUGGAAGGUUUAGCUUCUAAAGCACUUGACUUGGAAGCAAAGGGGACAAUGAUGGUUAUCCUAAACUCUUAAAGCUAUGAUGAAGGGUGGAUAAAAUGAAUAAGUAUAGUGUAUACUUGAAUAUUACAAAAUUACUUUGAUGGUAAUAUGAUCUUGGCCUUUCAUCUACAGAUUGUGAAGAUUUUCAGUCAUUUGAAGAUGUUCAUACUUUGCAGGACCAGGACCGUUUAGUUGUUUAGGGAUGAUUUUCUUAUUGUUAUAAUAUAAUGUGAAUUGGUUUAGUUGUUUUGGUCAUGUUAGAAAUAUGUGAAUCGGUGUAUAUAUAUUUUGGAUUAAUUACAAUGGUCUAUAAUGUAAUGGUAUAAU